UACGGGGGGGGCAAGCGUUGUUCGGAAUUACUGGGCGUAAAGGGCGCGUAGGCGGUUUGCUAAGUUGAAUGUGAAAACUCUGGGCUUAACCCAGAGCCUGCAUUCAAUACUGGCAGGCUAGAGUUCUGGAGGGAUAGCGGAAUUCCUGGUGUAGCGGUGAAAUGCGUAGAUAUCAGGAGGAACACCGGUGGCGAAGGCGGCUAUCUGGACAGAGUCUGACGCUGAUGCGCGAAGCGUGGGGAGCAAACGGG
rnacentral:rRNA from 1 species